UACGGAGGGUGCAAGCGUUAAUCGGAAUUACUGGGCGUAAAGCGCACGCAGGCGGCCGAGCAAGUCGAGUGUGAAAGCCCCGGGCUUAACUUGGGAAUUGCGCUCGAAACUACUUGGCUGGAGUGUGGCAGAGGAAGGUGGAAUUCCAGGUGUAGCGGUGAAAUGCGUAGAGAUCUGGAGGAACACCGAUGGCGAAGGCAGCCUUCUGGGCCAACACUGACGCUCAUGCACGAAAGCGUGGGGAGCAAACAGG
rnacentral:rRNA from 1 species